rnacentral:rRNA from 1 species
GACGAACGCUGGCGGCGUGCUUAACACAUGCAAGUCGAACGGAAAGGCCCUGCUUUUGUGGGGUGCUCGAGUGGCGAACGGGUGAGUAACACGUGAGUAACCUGCCCUUGACUUUGGGAUAACUUCAGGAAACUGGGGCUAAUACCGGAUAGGAGCUCCUGCUGCAUGGUGGGGGUUGGAAAGUUUCGGCGGUUGGGGAUGGACUCGCGGCUUAUCAGCUUGUUGGUGGGGUAGUGGCUUACCAAGGCUUUGACGGGUGGCCGGCCUGAGAGGGUGACCGGCCACAUUGCGACUGAGAUACGGCCCAGACUCCUACGGGAGGCAGCAGUGGGGAAUAUUGCACAAUGGGCGGAAGCCUGAUGCAGCAACGCCGCGUGCGGGAUGACGGCCUUCGGGUUGUAAACCGCUUUCGCCUGUGACGAAGCGUGAGUGACGGUAAUGGGUAAAGAAGCACCGGCUAACUACGUG